CUGAUGCAGCGACGCCGCGUGAGGGAAGAAGGUCUUCGGAUUGUAAACCUCUGUCUUCGGGGACGAAAAUGACGGUAGCCGAGGAGGAGGCCACGGCUAACUACGUGCCG
rnacentral:rRNA from 1 species